UAAUAAUUUGGUCUUAACUGACUUGCCUAGUUAAAUAAAGGUUAAAUAAGAAAUACAUUUUAAAAAGUCGGAAGACAGCGAUUUCCGAGUUGGUUUGAACAUGGCAGACGCUCCACAUGAUGACGAAGUACGCUUACACAUACCUAUCCCCACUUACCGGAUGUUACAGUUUGCGUUUCUUCAUUCACCAAAGUCAGACAGCGCCCGGUGGAAGUGGAGGUCUUGUGCGAUUCUCUUGGCGCGAGUACAGUUGAUGAGAAUGUGUGGACGAUGGAGAAGAAGAGUAGAAUAAAAGGGGCUAAAGUUGGAAAUCAACAGCAGUUUAUGUCAACGUCCCCCUGGAUCGGGUGAAKGCAGGCUGGGAGGAGACAAGUGACCCGUACCACGUCCAGAGGCUUGCGGAUCACUAUGGGAUCUUCAAGGAUCUGUUCCCCAUGGCCUACUUCGUCCCCCGGGUCACACUGCGCGUCAGCUACGACCAAGACAGCUCAGCACAAGUACAUUAUGGGAAUCACUUGAUGCCCAGAGAGCACCUCAGGUCAGUUUUGUGGCAGAGUAGGGCUCCCUAUGGACACUGCUGCUCACCAGCCCAGAUGAGCAUCUGCUGGAUAGUGAAGGGGAGUGUGUGCACUGGCUGGUGUUAGUAUUGCAAUAAUGAUUAUUGUAUUGUGCUUUUGUCAAACUUGUAAGUGAUUUAAAAGGUCUGGGGGUAAGGGCAAUUCCACAGUAACAGAAUAAUGCGGAGACUCUGAUUUUACACUUUUUAAAUGUAUACCAAACAAAAACCCAUGAUUGCAAGUUAAACAAACCAUACAACUCUAUGCACAAGUAUGACUUAAUUUCCACCAAAAUUUUUCCAAAAACACAUUAACUUGAACAGUAAAGAUGCAAAGUUUGGUAACAGAAUGACGGUACCAACAGCACAAACUGUCAUUCUGUUAUCAAACUUUGCAUCUGCACUGUCCUUCAUGUGUGUUUGUAAAAUAUUUGGUGGAAAUUGUUAAGUAGUCCUUGUGCAUAGUUAGUUGUAUGGUUUAACUUUGCAGUCUCAACAUCACUCUGUUACUGUGGAAUUGCCCGUAACGAACUCCUUCCACCACCAAUAUGAUGAUUAAGAUAAUGACCCUUUAAAGAUAAUCUGUUUUUAAUUCAUGAAGAUUAGUUWAGUUACCAUUUGAAAUGACGACAAUCACAAAUUGGUCGCAAAAAAAACAAACCGGGCCAUUAACAUCCCAGGUGGGGCUGUGACGUCAGAGGACCCGUGUCAAUAUCUGGCCCCGAUCCCUGCCAAGGCUACCAGCUUUCACCGCUUUGUCUGUCCUGUUCAGACAGGAAGGAACCAUCAACUUCCAUGAAGACAUCUGACCAUCACCAUGGUGACUAACAGGACAUACAAGUAUCAUUUGUGCUCCAUGACCACCAUCUAUCUGUUCAUUUCACAGUAACACGCUUCCUGCAUCUCUGUCACAGCGGACACUUAAGACUGUCGAUUUCUACAGGAAGCACCAGGACCGCAUGACUCCAGCAGGCCUCUCUCUCUUCCAGGGUUGGAGAGUCCUGCUGUACAGGAUGGUAGGAAGUCACAAGUCACAGGAUUGCUGUAGGGGAUAUGGGUGGAGAUCUUUGGAUUAGGCAUCAAGGGGGUUGAGGUCAAGUCAGAUCCCCUUAAGGGAGAAACAAUGGUUUGUCUUCCUGUUGAACCAUAAAAGAUGUAAGGACUGGAGAGAAGUGCCCACAUUGGAGUAUAUAUACUUGUGGUGGUGGAAACAUGUUUUGUCUGAAUGCAGCUGUAUCGACCCUCUGAGCAGAAUAAACAUGGUUAACCUUU